rnacentral:rRNA from 1 species
GACGAACGCUGGCGGCGUGCCUAAUACAUGCAAGUCGAACGCUUCUUUCCUCCCGAGUGCUUGCACUCAAUUGGAAAGAGGAGUGGCGGACGGGUGAGUAACACGUGGGUAACCUACCCAUCAGAGGGGGAUAACACUUGGAAACAGGUGCUAAUACCGCAUAACAGUUUGUGCCGCAUGGCAUAAGAGUGAAAGGCGCUUUCGGGUGUCGUUGAUGGAUGGACCCGCGGUGCAUUAGCUAGUUGGUGAGGUAACGGCUCACCAAGGCCACGAUGCAUAGCCGACCUGAGAGGGUGAUCGGCCACACUGGGACUGAGACACGGCCCAGACUCCUACGGGAGGCAGCAGUAGGGAAUCUUCGGCAAUGGACGAAAGUCUGACCGAGCAACGCCGCGUGAGUGAAGAAGGUUUUCGGAUCGUAAAACUCUGUUGUUAGAGAAGAACAAGGACGUUAGUAACUGAACGUCCCCUGACGGUAUCUAACCAGAAAGCCACGGCUAACUACGUG